rnacentral:rRNA from 1 species
UACGUAGGGGGCAAGCGUUGUCCGGAAUCAUUGGGCGUAAAGAGCGUGUAGGCGGCUUGGUAAGUCCGCUGUAAAAGUCCAGGGCUCAACCCUGGAAAGCCGGUGGAAACUGUCAAGCUUGAGUCCGGAAGAGGCGAGUGGAAUUCCUGGUGUAGCGGUGAAAUGCGCAGAUAUCAGGAGGAACACCAAUGGCGAAGGCAGCUCGCUGGGACGGUACUGACGCUGAGACGCGAAAGCGUGGGGAGCAAACAGG